rnacentral:siRNA from 1 species
GGAACCUAGAUUUCGACAUUAGG